rnacentral:piRNA from 1 species
GCAUGAAUUAGCAAAACUGACUGGUAGGC